AGUCACCUCUGCAGCGUCUAACCAUCUCUUUUCUUUUACCAUCCCAGAGCCUAUUCUUGCCCUAGUGUGUCGCUCGUUAAAUUACUUUAAUGCUUUGCCGCCCUCGAAGAUUUUUCAAAUAUUUAUUUACUCUAAUCUUUUUUCAUCGUGUAAACUACAACAGACGUACAUAAUUCCGAACCGUAUUACACGUACCUGUAAUCUACAGGGUACAUAUAUAGAUGUAUGCUGUCGCAAGUGUACAGAAAGUGGCAAACGGUGAAAGUGUAAUGAGAUUAGACGGACGAUAUAUAAUUUUGAUAAAUGGAUUUCAAUGGUGCAGGGAAUAAUUGAUCGACGAGCAAAGUCUGUGCAUCGGAUAUUCAUUUAUUUCUGGUAUUGGUACGACGGUGAAUGAAAAAAAUAUCGCUAUAAUUCAUCAGGCUGUGAUCUUUGAAAUAGAUCUCAGCACGUGCGAGGAUGAGAUAGGGGGUAGUGCACGGUGGAGGGUGUUGAAAAAUGACUAAACGAAUUUGAAGAGAGCGAUAAGCGGCUGGAAGCAUCGCGGCACAGGCGGUCGUGCACCUGGAGCCCGCGAAGUUGUCAGAUGAAUAGGCCGUUGGCGGAAGGGCAUAGAGAUAUCGGGCGUAACAGCAGCAGCAGCAGCAGCGGCAGUGGCGGUAACAGUUUGGUUGCAGCAGAAGCCAGAAGACACCGGAAGUUGGCACAAGUUCCUCUCCAUGUCUGAAGACACACACCAAUUUUCAUUUCCCUUUCUCCGUGCGACUGCAUAUCGCGAAUAUCGAGUCGAGCGGAUUGAAUAAUUUUCUUUCGCCGGGUACCUACAGAUCCUGCUGGAGGUGGAUUAGCUAAUGGAAUUGAUAUUCAAAUCGACGAAUUCCAGAGGCAUUGUUCAGACAGUCAGGGUUUUCCAGUCGUCGCCAACUCGUCAGGUAGUCACGCUAUGCGCUCAAAGCAGGAGAUGCUUUGCCAAAGAACAUAUCGUCUCUGAGGUGGUGCUGAAUUACAAAACGCCUUCUUUACCGUAUUUUUACCAAAUGCACACAAUUGCUCAAUGAAACGAAACGAAACGUGACCUGUAAUAGCUUGAAUCCAUCAGUUUUCACAUCUACUCGUAUUCGCAUAAUUUGCUUGAAAUUAACAGCUGAUCAGAAUUCUCUGCGGGAUAUUUAUUAAGCUACAUCUAACGGGGGGGAUGAAAUUCGGAGCCCAGUCUUUCUUCUUCUUCUUCUUUUGUGUUGAUUCCAGUAAACUAAGAAAAUUGGGUGGAAUAAUUUGACCGAUUAUAGACUCGAGAGACGAGGAAAGCGUAUCUGACGCGAAUCGCGGUUGUAGUUUCGCUGUUGCUGCACGGUUGAUUUAUAAGCUCCGCUUGAAUCCUGGGCCCCUUUGUCACGGUGUGGCACGAACUGUCGUCGGCCAGCAGGAGACUGUUAAUUUCUCGCAAUGUUUUCCGCGCCGCGUUAUAACACGAGUCUGCGGUCGCCUCGACGUAAUUCCAGUAGCAAUUGUGGUGACUCGAGAUGUAUAAUGUAAGCUCAUGAGGUACGCGACUUGAAUCGCAAACGAAAUCCUGAAUUAUUCGCUGCGUCCUUUUUCGCUCGCCUGGUUGGAGCCGCGCGAAGUAUCGCGUCUGCGGUCGACCGAUAUCGAGUUUUCGUAACAUUUUUUUCCUCAAUCGCAUCAGGCAUGAUACGUUCACACAUUCAAGCUUCCAGUAGGCGCAAAUACACGCAACAAGAAUCUGAGUACGCUUUAUUCCACUGAAUAAUAAUCCGCUCUUGUAAAUGCUGAAAUAGUUGCACAUGGUUGAGAUAUUCGACUCACGCAAUUAUUUCGCAACCUUGAAACUUCAAUUUGUAUUCUAAUUAUGCACGUCUGUGCAGUUAAAUUCUCUUUUAGAUCUGCACCGUCGUACGAAACAUUUUGUAGAUAUCGCAAUCGUGCUUAGACAGAUUUAAACUAAUUACAGCAAAUAUUAGUGUAAUCUUGUGCGCAAUUCAAUUAUCUGCAAAAAUCAGAUACCUCUAUUAUGUUAAACAGGUUGAAGAAACCUUCUCAACUUUUAUAAUACCCGGCUUGACAAUGGCGUUCAUAUGAAUUCUUGGUGGAUUGAUGCCAAUUGCUGUUCACAAAUCUCCACAAAAUUGAACAUGCAUAGCGAAAAUUGUUUAACACGGUGAAGUAACAAUGCUCACGAAAUACGUGACUGAAACGCUCCGUACCCGAGACGGAAAGCCACGAACAAAAUAAUUCUUCACUUCCGCAUGUAAAACAUGAACAAAGUUUGUCAAGACACACGUCGGCGAACCGGAAGAACGCGGGUGCGUGACCCGUCGAUCCCUUUCGCAGUCUAGGGAGAGGUUCUCGAGCGGUCAUCGACUCAUUCUUCGGUGUCAGACACGUCCUAAUCGUGUUUCUAUUGUUUACAAGAAACGUACUACGCAGUUGUACCUGAUCAGACGUAGGCGUGUACGUAAGCUCUGGACGACACUCGGACCGGAUGAUAAAUAAUGAAACGUUGACAAUCGAUACGUGUAUGGUGGAUAUGGGACUGAUGGGGAAAAAAAUAAAUAAGCAUCACCAAAAUCAUAGCUUGGAUGAAGUGAGUGAAGUACCUUCAAAGAUUGAACGAUUGAUCGGAACGCUGGAAAAAGAAUGAAUUUAUACACGUAACUUGCAACAAAAUAAAAAUAAAUAACACAUCAAUCUAUGCCCCACAAUGUUUAUUACUUGGGUUUGCAACCAAAAUACUGAUGAGCCGCGAAGGGCGCUGAGAUAUAUCGAUUGAUUAGCUCUGACCAAUGCAUUCUUUAUUUCUUUUGACGUCGAAUUAGUACGCAGAGGGUCAUUUAAAUCGAUUGGAAAAGAAUAAAUUUGCGAAGAUGAAGUUAGAUUGAGCCCGUUGAAUUUUUUCAGUUCAUUUUUAAUGGAUUUUGAAAAAUGCUGGAUUCAAGUUAUCUUAACGGCCAUACAUGCACGGGAAUUUUCAAUAGUGGGGUGAGUGGAGAAAAAGAAUUCACACACUUCUAGAAAUCGAUUGAGUUUCGGCUGAUUAUUUGAUGUGCCUUAAUUAAAGUCCAAGUGUUCAGGCCUCAGUGUGUAGUAAUUUGACAAGUUAACAAAUAGUGUAAAAGUGAAAGAUGAGAAGAAACGAAGAAGUAUGAUUAAACAUUGUAUAUUAAUUCUGAUAACUAUAACAUGACAGAGAAAUGUAAUAUACAUGGCUAUGAGCAGGAUUCAAGAAAUAAUAUAUUUCAUAUGAUCAUUAUCGUAGUAAGUUAGGGUAGUGAAAGUUCUGGUGUGCGUACAAAUGCCAUGCGCCUCUGGAACAUACACAAAAUGAUGUUUCAUGAUGUAUUGUGACUAUUUUAUGUAACCUGAAUUG